AAGCCGCCUAGAGGUAAACGGGUGGAUCCGCAAAGUCGGCCCGCGGAAUUCAGCUCGGAAGGAAGGCGCGUGUGCUGGGCAGGAGAUCCCCAAAAGACUCUCCCGGUCGCACGACGUCGUUCGGCCGUGUGCACUUUCCGCGGGCAGAGCGCCACGACCGGUUCUCGGGCGGUCAGAAGGCCGCGAGGAAGGUAGGUGGGUGCUUCGCGGCGCCCACUGUUAUAGACUCGCGUGACCCGAUCCGCUUGGGGACCGAGGAGCCGCCGUCGGUGUGAACCCCGCCUCUCCGCCCUCCCGGGCUGUUCGACUGGCAGAGACUGGGCAACCGUGUCUGCUGACCGCUUCCUGGGACGGAUGGUGUGGGCGCAGGCACCGGCACAGGGUCGGUGGCGAAUCGGUCGGCCCUCCACCCGACCCGUCUUGAA
rnacentral:rRNA from 1 species